rnacentral:rRNA from 1 species
CGUAGGGUGCGAGCGUUGUCCGGAAUUAUUGGGCGUAAAGAGCUUGUAGGCGGUUUGUCACGUCGAAAGUGAAAACUCGGGCCUUAAUCCCGAGCUUGCUUUCGAUACGGGCUGACUAGAGGAAGGUAGGGGAGAACGGAAUUCCUGGUGGAGCGGUGGAAUGCGCAGAUAUCAGGAGGAACACCGGUGGCGAAGGCGGUUCUCUGGACCUUUCCUGACGCUGAGAAGCGAAAGCGUGGGGAGCAAACAGGCUU